AUUCCAUGUUGUGGGCAUCUCCUUUGGAAUUCCUUAAAUUGUUCCCAUGAAUCAUACAAAGACUACCCAUCCAGUUGAUGGAAGUUGUUAAUCUCUCUAAUUUU